UUGAACGCUGGCGGCAUGCCUUACACCUGCCAGUCGAACGGUAACAGGUCUUCGGAUGCUGACGAGUGGCGAACGGGUGAGUAAUACAUCGGAACGUGCCCAGACGUGGGGGAUAACGAGGCGAAAGCUUUGCUAAUACCGCAUACGAUCUAAGGAUGAAAGCAGGGGACCGCAAGGCCUUGUGCGUUUGGAGCGGCCGAUGGCAGAUUAGGUAGUUGGUGGGAUAAAAGCUUACCAAGCCGACGAUCUGUAGCUGGUCUGAGAGGACGACCAGCCACACUGGGACUGAGACACGGCCCAGACGCCUACGGGAGGCAGCAGUGGGGAAUUUUGGACAAUGGGCGAAAGCCUGAUCCAGCAAUGCCGCGUGCAGGAUGAAGGCCUUCGGGUUGUAAACUGCUUUUGUACGGAACGAAAAGGCUCUGGCUAAUACCUGGGGCACAUGACGGUACCGUAAGAAUAAGCACCGGCUAACUACGUG
rnacentral:rRNA from 1 species